rnacentral:lncRNA from 1 species
CUUUUUCAGGAUUUUCAAAGUGCUCUCAUUUCCUUAGUUCUGCUCGGAUCCUCUUAUAACCCGGUGUUUUCGUAAUCUAGGUGACCCAAAUAAUACGCUGGUAUACUUAGUUUGAUUUCGAAAAAAAUCAAUUUUUGGUGAAAAAAUUCGAUACGGGGGGGUAUACCCGAAAAAUAAAAAAACCCAAACUUUGAAGGUCGAUAUCUCGGCUUCUAUGGGAGCUAUCGGGAAAAUUCCAACGGUUUUGUCUUAGUUUCGUCAUUUUGAAUCCAACGAGACCAUCCGCAAGGUCGUAGCUCUUACGAUAGCCGAGAUAUGGCAUUUUUGAUGCCCAUUUUUGGCCUCAAAAACGGACGACGAAAACGACUUUUUCAGGAUUUUCAAAGUGCUCUCAUUCCCUUAGUUCUGCUCGGAUCCUGUUAUAACCCGGUGUUUUCGUAAUCUAGGUGACCCAAAUAAUACGCUGGUAUACUUAGUUUGAUUUCGAAAAAAAUCAAUUUUUGGUGAAAAAAUUCGAUACGGGGGGGUAUACCCGAAAAAUGAAAAAACCCAAACUUUGAAGGUCGAUAUCUCGGCUUCUAUGGGAGCUAUCGGGAAAAUUCCAACGGUUUUGUCUUAGUUUCGUCAUUUUGAAUCCAACGAGACCAUCCGCAAGGUCGUAGCUUUUACGAUAGCCGAGAUAUGGCAUUUUUGAUGCCCAUUUUUGGCCUCAAAAACGGACGUCGAAAACGACUUUUUCAGGAUUUUCAAAGUGCUCUCAUUCCCUUAGUUCUGCUCGGAUCCUCUUAUAACCCGGUGUUUUCGUAAUCUAGGUGACCCAAAUAAUACGCUGGUAUACUUAGUUUGAUUUCGAAAAAAAUCAAUUUUUGGUGAAAAAAUUCGAUACGGGGGGGUAUACCCGAAAAAUGAAAAAACCCAAACUUUGAAGGUCGAUAUCUCGGCUUCUAUGGGAGCUAUCGGGAAAAUUCCAACGGUUUUGUCUUAGUUUCGUCAUUUUGAAUCCAACGAGACCAUCCGCAAGGUCGUAGCUCUUACGAUAGCCGAGAUAUGGCAUUUUUGAUGCCCAUUUUUGGCCUCAAAAACGGACGUCGAAAACGACUUUUUCAGGAUUUUCAAAGUGCUCUCAUUCCCUUAGUUCUGCUCGGAUCCUCUUAUAACCCGGUGUUUUCGUAAUCUAGGUGACCCAAAUAAUACGCUGGUAUACUUAGUUUGAUUUCGAAAAAAAUCAAUUUUUGGUGAAAAAAUUCGAUACGGGGGGGUAUACCCGAAAAAUGAAAAAACCCAAACUUUGAAGGUCGAUAUCUCGGCUUCUAUGGGAGCUAUCGGGAAAAUUCCAACGGUUUUGUCUUAGUUUCGUCAUUUUGAAUCCAACGAGACUAUCCGCAAGGUCGUAGCUCUUACGAUAGCCGAGAUAUGGCAUUUUUGAUGCCCAUUUUUGGCCUCAAAAACGGACGUCAAAAACGACUUUUUCAGGAUUUUCAAAGUGCUCUCAUUCCCUUAGUUCUGCUCGGAUCCUGUUAUAACCCGGUGUUUUCGUAAUCUAGGUGACCCAAAUAAUACGCUGGUAUACUUAGUUUGAUUUCGAAAAAAAUCAAUUUUUGGUGAAAAAAUUCGAUACGGGGGGGUAUACCCGAAAAAUGAAAAAACCCAAACUUUGAAGGUCGAUAUCUCGGCUUCUAUGGGAGCUAUCGGGAAAAUUCCAACGGUUUUGUCUUAGUUUCGUCAUUUUGAAUCCAACGAGACCAUCCGCAAGGUCGUAGCUUUUACGAUAGCCGAGAUAUGGCAUUUUUGAUGCCCAUUUUUGGCCUCAAAAACGGACGUCGAAAACGACUUUUUCAGGAUUUUCAAAGUGCUCUCAUUCCCUUAGUUCUGCUCGGAUCCUCUUAUAACCCGGUGUUUUCGUAAUCUAGGUGACCCAAAUAAUACGCUGGUAUACUUAGUUUGAUUUCGAAAAAAAUCAAUUUUUGGUGAAAAAAUUCGAUACGGGGGGGUA